rnacentral:rRNA from 1 species
AUACGUAGGUGGCGAGCGUUGUCCGGAAUUACUGGGUGUAAAGGGCGUGUAGGCGGGAGAGCAAGUCAGAUGUGAAAGCCCAAGGCUCAACUUUGGGACUGCAUCUGAAACUGUUUUUCUUGAGUACUGGAGAGGGAAGCGGAAUUCCUAGUGUAGCGGUGAAAUGCGUAGAGAUUAGGAGGAACACCAGUGGCGAAGGCGGCUUCCUGGACAGAGACUGACGCUGAGGCGCGAAAGCGUGGGGAGCGAACAGGAUUAGAUACCCUGGUAGUCCACGCCGUAAACGAUGGAUACUAGGUGUAGGAGGUAUCAACUCCUUCUGUGCCGGAGUUAACACAAUAAGUAUCCCACCUGGGGAGUACGGCCGCAAGGUUGAA